rnacentral:rRNA from 1 species
GACGAACGCUGGCGGCGUGCUUAACACAUGCAAGUCGAACGGAAAGGCCCUGCUUUUGUGGGGUGCUCGAGUGGCGAACGGGUGAGUAACACGUGAGUAACCUGCCCUUGACUUUGGGAUAACUUCAGGAAACUGGGGCUAAUACCGGAUAGGAGCUCCUGCUGCAUGGUGGGGGUUGGAAAGUUUCGGCGGUUGGGGCUGGACUCGCGGCUUAUCAGCUUGUUGGUGGGGUAGUGGCUUACCAAGGCCUUGACGGGUAGCCGGCCUGAGAGGGUGGACGGCGACAUGGGGACUGAGGGACGGCCCAGACGCCUACGGGAGGCAGCAGUGGGGAAUAUUACACAAUGGGGGGAAGCCUAAUGAAGCAGCGCCGCGGGCGGGAUGACGGCCUGCGGGGUGUAAACCGCUUUCGCCUGUGACGAAGCGUGAGUGACGGUAAUGGGUAAAGAAGCACCGGCUAACUACGUG